rnacentral:rRNA from 1 species
UACGUAGGCCGCAAGCGUUGUUCGGAAUUACUGGGCGUAAAGGGCGCGUAGGCGGCUUUUUAAGUCUGGUGUGAAAUCUCCCGGCUCAACUGGGAGGGUGCGCCGAAUACUGAGAAGCUAGAGUGUGGGGGAGGAAAGUGGAAUUCCUGGUGUAGCGGUGAAAUGCGUAGAUAUCAGGAGGAACACCGGUGGUGUAAACGGCUUUCUGGACCAUAACUGACGCUGAGGCACGAAAGCGUGGGUAGCAAACAGG